rnacentral:rRNA from 1 species
CCUACGGGUGGCAGCAGUGGGGAAUAUUGGGCAAUGGGCGAAAGCCUGAUGGAGCAACGCCGCGUGCAGGAUGAAGGCCUUCGGGUUGUAAACUGCUUUUAUAAGCGAGAAAUAUGAUGGUAACUUAUGAAUAAGGAUCGGCUAACUACGUGCCAGCAGCCGCGGUCAUACGUAGGAUCCGAGCAUUAUCCGGAGUGACUGGGUGUAAAGAGUUGCGUAGGUGGCAUAAUAAGUAGCUAGUGAAAUCUGGUGGCUCAACCAUUCAGACUAUUAGCUAAACUGUUAAGCUCGAGACCGUUAGGGGUAACUGGAAUUUCUAGUGUAGGAGUGAAAUCCGUAGAUAUUAGAAGGAACACCAAUAGCGUAGGCAGGUUGCUGGGACGGUUCUGACACUAAGGCACGAAAGCGUAGGGAGCAAACGGGAUUAGAUACCCUUGUAGUC